UGGUAGCGGUGGAUGGGGGAGCGCUGCGUUUCUAGAACGCGGCGCGCGUUCUAAAAACAAAUUUUCUCCGUGGCUGCAACGCUAGAGCGGCAACGCGUGGAGCAUUUGCUUGGUGGCUUUGGUGGGGCAUGCUGCACCGUAAACGCGAUUGCUUUUCUUCGAUUGUGCGUGGUUCGUCGUACACGGAAGCGCAACGAUGCCUGGCUGUUGUUGCGCACCAAACUGCAAGUCCAAUUAUGACGGAGGACAAAGUGUCCGAGUGCACAAGUUCCCAUCUGACCGAGCCACUCGGGAAGCGUGGACGAGAGCAGUUCCUCGGAAGGACUUCUCGCCAACGAAGUACACAGUGCCCUGUGAAAAGCAUUUCUUGCCAUCGGAUUACUUGAAGACGACAUCUUACACGGACGUCAAGACAGGAAAAGUGGUCGAAGUUGCCAUGAAAAAAACAUCCGUCCGAAGAAAAAUGCAGUUCCGAGCUUGUUUCCCAAAUUGCCCUGCCUAUUUAUCGCGUCCGCAAGUGUGCGUUCGAGAAGCGCUGGCUGCCAAAAGAGCGCGCUUGGAAGCCACAUAUUUGCAAAAAGCAAUAAUGCUUUCUCAGCAAACCCAAGCAGAAGAGGACGCCAAAAAUCUGGUUGGUAGCUUUGCGGACUUGCUGAAGGCCUUGCCAAGCUUUCAGUGUUCGGACUUCUGGACAGUUCUGGACAACAAGGGCUCCAAGGUUUUCUUUUUGGACUUGUCACUUUAAUCUGCUCCUGCAGUCCGUAUACUUCGGUGAUCGUGUCCACAGACCUGCGCGUCGAAGUACUUUUUGGUGAAACGGGUGUGAGGAAGUGUGGUGAUGUUUUAGUUCCUGAAAAGCUGUGCGACUUGAGAGAUUUGAAAAGUGUGUUACACAUGAUCGAACAGACACGUAAGGAUAUCAGCACUGAGCGUUCUGAAAAGGCCCGUCAUCUACUGACAUUGGUUUCGACAUUGCUAGAGGAAGUAAGUGGAAAAGAUUUCGCAUGCGAGUUGCAAGAAUGGCAUUUGGAAGUGCUUAAAUUCUUGAAGAGUCAAGUUGAUCUUCUUUUGAAUGAUGCUGGCCGAUAUCCCCCCCGAUUUAUUGGUUUUUGCUAGCCUUUUGUUCACAAUUUCACCUUAUGCAUACAGAUUCCUGAGAAGUUCGAUGAAGCUUAAGAUGCCGCAUCCUGAUACGAUCAGAAGACUGUGUUCAUCGUACGAUGUACGCCCUGAAACGGAGCAGCAAGAAUGUAGCUUUCUUUCCUAUGCAAAGCGUAUGGUAAGCACAUAUAAAGAGCAUGAAAAGAAUGUAACGUUAAUGAUUGAUGAGAUUCACCUUCAAUCAUUUUUUUAUUACAAGGAUGGGUUGGUUACUGGUGCUGCGGUAAAUGUAAUGUGUGUGAUUUCGGUCGUCCUGCACAGGAGGUAAUGGGGCGUGUUGUAAGUGCUGCAGCGAAUACACUGCUGAACAACUUGUGCCGCACAGAAAACGACAAAUUACGCAACGCCAAGAACGACCGAAAAUUGCAGACCUUGAAGGCCUGAGAUGUUUCUCAUUAUUUAUUUUUUAUUCAUGAAGCUCUGUUUUGUUGAACGUCUACGUAUGUUUGUGUUGACAGAACCCUUGUAAAAAGAAACCUGUGGCGUAGCUAGGACUUAUUUGCCUACAUUAUCAAAAUUUAAACCCUGCAUUUUGGCCAAUUCAAAUGUUAUUUGAGUGCAUUGUGCUACCUGUUUAUGAUUCGAACUCUCCAUGCUACCGCAAUCCAUUAAUUGCAUGCUUUCCUUUAGGACUGAGAGUAGGCCUCUCGUUUUUUACUUACUUUUCGCCAUUAUCUCUGUAUUUUAUGAAGACCAAUAAGGCCUGCAAACAAGGCGGGUGGAAAUAAAAUAACCACAAGAAAUGGUACUACAAAGACGGAAGCUUGUUCUACUUGAGAAUUAGUUGUGCGUGACCCUAUAAUGAUAACAUUUUCACAAUAAAAUUAACCUCGAUAUUCGUGUGUCUAGCGUGGACUGUUUUACGCAAUGCAAGAGUGAGAAUGAUAAUUGUAUAUGAAAGACUAAAAAUGUUUGUUUCCUAAUGCAGUUCUUAUCAUUUGUGAAUAAAGUAUAUUCUGUGUCUUCAA